AGAGUUUGAUCCUGGCUCAGGAUGAACGCUAGCGGUAGGCUUAACACAUGCAAGUCGUGGGGUAACAAUGGUGCUUGCACCAGGUGACGACCGGCGCACGGGUGAGUAACACGUAUGCAACCUACCUUUAACUGGAGGAUAGCUCCGAGAAAUCGGAAUUAAUACUCCAUAAUAUCUAUUUAUCGCAUGAUUUUUAGAUUAAAGCUCCGGCGGUUAAAGAUGGGCAUGCGGGACAUUAGCUUGUUGGUGAGGUAACGGCUCACCAAGGCAACGAUGUCUAUGGGGUCUUAAAGGAUGGUCCCACACACUGGUACUGAGACACGGACCAGACUCCUACGGGAGGCAGCAGUGAGGAAUAUUGGGCAAUGGGCGAAAGCCUGACCCAGCCAUACCGCGUGCAGGAUGACGGCUCUAUGAGUUGUAAACUGCUUUUGUAUAGGAAGAAAUAAAUCUACGUGUAGAUAACUGACGGUACUGUACGAAUAAGGAUCGGCUAACUCCGUGCCAGCAGCCGCGGUAAUACGGAGGAUCCAGGCGUUAUCCGGAUUUAUUAGGUUUAAAGGGUACGUAGGCGGAAAGAUAAGUCAGUGGUGAAAUCCUGCAGCUCAACUGUAGAACUGCCAUUGAAACUAUUUUUCUUGAGUAUAGUUGAGGUGGGCGGAAUGUGUCAUGUAGCGGUGAAAUGCUUAGAUAUGACACAGAACACCGAUUGCGUAGGCAGCUCACUAAACUAUUACUGACGCUGAGGUACGAAAGCGUGGGGAGCGAACAGGAUUAGAUACCCUGGUAGUCCACGCCGUAAACGAUGAUUACUCGUUGUGUGCGAUAUAGUGCACGCGACUGAACGAAAGUAUUAAGUAAUCCACCUGGGGAGUACGUUGGCAACAAUGAAACUCAAAGGAAUUGACGGGGGCCCGCACAAGCGGAGGAACAUGUGGUUUAAUUCGAUGAUACGCGAGGAACCUUACCUGGACUUAAAUGCAGAACGACCGGUGCCGAAAGGUGCUCUCCCUUCGGGGCGGACUGCAAGGUGCUGCAUGGUUGUCGUCAGCUCGUGCCGUGAGGUGUCGGGUUAAGUCCCAUAACGAGCGCAACCCCUAUUGUUAGUUGCUAACAGGUAUGCUGAGGACUCUAACGAAACUGCCGGUGUAAACCGUGAGGAAGGUGGGGAUGACGUCAAAUCAGCACGGCCCUUACGUCCAGGGCUACACACGUGUUACAAUGGCCGAUACAGUGGGCAGCUACUUGGCAACAAGAUGCUAAUCUCCAAAGUCGGUCUCAGUUCGGAUCGAAGUCUGCAACUCGACUUCGUGAAGUUGGAUUCGCUAGUAAUCGUAUAUCAGCAAUGAUACGGUGAAUACGUUCCCGGGCCUUGUACACACCGCCCGUCAAGCCAUGGAAGCUGGGGGUACCUGAAGUCUGUAACCGCAAGGAACGGCCUAGGGUAAAACUAGUAACUGGGGCUAAGUCGUAACAGGGUA
rnacentral:rRNA from 1 species